GCGGGAAUAGCUCAGUUGGUAGAGCACGACCUUGCCAAGGUCGGGGUCGCGAGU
rnacentral:tRNA from 4 species